AUUUUCUUCCUUAGUAUUUUUGUCUUGUUUUCCUAUUACAACUAUCUUACCAUUCAUAAAUCAAGUUGCAUUUACUUUGCGAAGCAAAAUUUUAAAAGACAGUCUUGUUUUCUGAAAUCAAGUGACUGUUUAAAACAAGAAAAAUGUCUGGCAACUUGUUUACCCUUAAAAUCAAGUAUUAUUGUCAGAUAUUUUUUCUCAUUUUAAGCAUAAACUCACUUAAUCUAGAUAAAUUUUUCAAGACUUUUUAUGUUAAGUAAUUGGCUUCUCAAGUUGAUUUAAGAUUGUUGAGAGAAUUGUACUGGAAAACAAGACAAAAACACAGAGGAAGAAAAUCUGAAAAAUGAACUAUUGCUUUUAUCACUCAUGAAUAUUGUUCAAGAGAUGUUUGAACUGACUCCUCAAAGCUUGUUGAAUGCUUGAAUUUCAAACGUUUUAUCUUUUUCAAUAGUUUUGGCUUUUUUUGAGAAAUUCUGACACGUGCACUCAAAGUUGCCAAUAUGUUAUAUGCAAAAUAGCCAUUGUUAUAUAUAUAAUUGUGGGUAACAACCUCAAUCAAUCGCUACUGAUUUAGAAAGCCAUGAACCUUGUCUGUGAGGUGUUACUGAUGGUUUGAGGUACCCGAAUAAAUAAUAUAAUCACUGCUGAGACAAUGUAGAAUGAAAUAGAUUGGAGUUGUAGGGAUGUCUGUACUGAUACGAUGAGGGUUGCAUUGAUCGUAAGGGUUUGGAAGUGUGAAUAGUGGGGUAACAUCAAGUCCUGACGAGUUGUUUAGAAUGGCAUGCAGCUGUAAUCGCGGUACUUUAGCUGGUAGACAUGUGACGCCUGUCGAUAUACUGUAAAUACUUUCGUAUGUAAAUAUUCUUUUCAUAUUUAUUCAUAUUGCCUCGGUUUAUGUUCAGCAGAUCUUUGCUUGGUUCUCCCUGUAAGAUCAGUGUUAUAGAUAGACGUUCGGUCCUGUGCAAAGCUGACCGCAAAAAUAUCAUUGUUGCUGCACAAAUCCAGUUUUCCUACAGCAACUGAAUGCUUAGAGAAGCAGCCAAUCACAAAACAGCAUGCCAUCAUGCGAUCGGAUUCACAGAUUCAAUUCGCUGGCUUUAUUUUUGACUUUUUAUUUUACAGUAAUAAACUCUUAUUUACAGUAAUAAACUCCCCUUUAAGAAUCAUUUCUUUAGGUGUGACUCGUGCACUAAAGUAUUGUUUUAUUAUUUCUUUUUAACUUGCAAUAAAUCUGCUGUUGAUUUUGACAGGUAGUUACUGCAAAGUUAAACUGCACUGUAUGCAUCGCUCUGAUCGUACUGUGACUUAACGAGGAUUUUUGAUGAUGGAUGGACGAUGGCAUGUUCUUGGCCCGUGCUGUAGAACUAGAAAAUUAAAUUAU